GACGAACGCUGGCGGCGUGCCUAAUACAUGCAAGUAGAACGCACAGUUUAUACCGUAGCUUGCUACACCAUAGACUGUGAGUUGCGAACGGGUGAGUAACGCGUAGGUAACCUGCCUGGUAGCGGGGGAUAACUAUUGGAAACGAUAGCUAAUACCGCAUAAUAUUAAUUAUUGCAUGAUAAUUAAUUGAAAGGUGCAAUUGCACCACUACCAGAUGGACCUGCGUUGUAUUAGCUAGUAGGUGAGGUAACGGCUCACCUAGGCGACGAUACAUAGCCGACCUGAGAGGGUGAUCGGCCACACUGGGACUGAGACACGGCCCAGACUCCUACGGGAGGCAGCAGUAGGGAAUCUUCGGCAAUGGACGAAAGUCUGACCGAGCAACGCCGCGUGAGUGAAGAAGGGCUUCGGAUCGUAAAGCUCUGUUGUAAGAGAAGAACGGGUGUGAGAGUGGAAAGUUCACACUGUGACGGUAGCUUACCAGAAAGGGACGGCUAACUACGUG
rnacentral:rRNA from 1 species